UACGAAGGGGGCUAGCGUUGCUCGGAAUCACUGGGCGUAAAGCGCACGUAGGCGGAUUGUUAAGUCAGGGGUGAAAUCCUGGAGCUCAACUCCAGAACUGCCUUUGAUACUGAGGAUCUUGAGUUCGGGAGAGGUGAGUGGAACUGCGAGUGUAGAGGUGAAAUUCGUAGAUAUUCGCAAGAACACCAGUGGCGAAGGCGGCCCACUGGCCCGAUACUGACGCUGAGGCACGAAAGCGUGGGGAGCAAACAGG
rnacentral:rRNA from 1 species